rnacentral:lncRNA from 1 species
CAAGUAAUGACAAUUGGCAAACAUCUCAACCCAAUAUUAACUUCUGAUCUUCACUGUUUCUCCCUUAGCUAUAUAGACUUAGGAGAGCAAAAAAGGGCAGAUAAAGCCACAUGGCCCUUUAGACACAAACUCACACAUCUAGGAGCAUUCCUUGUCAUGUUUAAUUCUCAAACUCCAUUGUCACUAAUAUACUGCUGCAGAACAUUCCUUCCCUAAGGCAGUUAUGAUAAAGAAGUUGUGGGGAGUUACACAUGACCUACUCUUUCCUAGGUGAAAACAGUUCAGGUACUACCAUAAAUCAGAUGUCAAAAGUUUCUUGUAGGCAUUUUCUAAUAUGGAAUGGUUUC